GGUGGCUCAGUGGUAGAGCACUUGCCUUGCAUGCAUGAAGCCCUGGGUUCAAUUCCUCAGCACCA
rfam:Dipodomys ordii contig_13816, whole genome shotgun sequence.